rnacentral:rRNA from 1 species
AGAGUUUGAUCCUGGCUCAGGAUGAACGCUAGCGGCAGGCUUAAUACAUGCAAGUCGAGGGCCCAGCAAUGGGACCGGCGCACGGGUGCGUAACACGUAUGCAACCUGCCCACAUCAGGGGGAUAGCCCGAGGAAACUCGGAUUAAUACCGCAUAACACUAGGGGGUGGCAUCAUUUUUUAGUGAAAGAUUUAUCGGAUGUGGAUGGGCAUGCGCAAGAUUAGCUAGUUGGUAAGGUAACGGCUUACCAAGGCUACGAUCUUUAGGGGCUCUGAGAGGAGUAACCCCCACACUGGCACUGAGAUACGGGCCAGACUCCUACGGGAGGCAGCAGUAGGGAAUAUUGGGCAAUGGAGGCAACUCUGACCCAGCCAUGCCGCGUGCAGGAAGACGGCCCUCUGGGUUGUAAACUGCUUUUGAAUGGGAAGAAUACAAGGGAUGCGUCCUUUGCUGACGGUACCAUUAGAAUAAGCCACGGCUAACUACGUGCCAGCAGCCGCG